UACAGGGGGGGCAAGCGUUGUUCGGAAUUACUGGGCGUAAAGGGUUCGUAGGUGGCCACUUAAGUCAGACGUGAAAUCCCUCAGCUUAACUGGGGAACUGCGUCUGAUACUGGGUGGCUUGAGUGCAGGAGAGGGAUGCGGAAUUCCAGGUGUAGCAGUGAAAUGCGUAGAUAUCUGGAGGAACACCGGUGGCGAAGGCGGCAUCCUGGACUGUAACUGACACUGAGGAACGAAAGCCAGGGGAGCAAACGGG
rnacentral:rRNA from 1 species